UGGGGAAUAUUGCACAAUGGGCGCAAGCCUGAUGCAGCCAUGCCGCAUGUAUGAAGAAGGCCUUCGGGUUGUAAAGUACUUUCAGCGAGGAGGAAGGCGUUGUGGUUAAUAACCGCAGCGAUUGACGUUACUCGCAGAAGAAGCACCGGCUAACUCCGUGCCAGCAGCCGCGGUAAUACGGAGGGUGCAAGCGUUAAUCGGAAUUACUGGGCGUAAAGCGCACGCAGGCGGUCUGUCAAGUCGGAUGUGAAAUCCCCGGGCUCAACCUGGGAACUGCAUCCGAAACUGGCAGGCUAGAGUCUUGUAGAGGGGGGUAGAAUUCCAGGUGUAGCGGUGAAAUGCGUAGAGAUCUGGAGGAAUACCGGUGGCGAAGGCGGCCCCCUGGACAAAGACUGACGCUCAGGUGCGAAAGCGUGGGGAGCAAACA
rnacentral:rRNA from 1 species